AUGGGAUUUGCCCUACAAGGAAUUUUCAUUCUGACUAUUUUGCAAGGUGUCCAUUGUGAUAUUCAGCUCUUGGAGUCUGGGGGAGACAUGAGACAGCCUGGAGGAUCCUUGAAACUCUCCUGCAAAGCUUCUGGAUUCACCUUCAGCAGCUACUACAUGAGUUGGGUUCGCCAGGCUCCAGGGAAGGGGCUGGAGUGGGUCUCACGUAUUGAUACUGGUGGAAGUAGCACAUACUAUGCAGACUCUGUGAAAGGCCGAUUCACCAUCUCCAGGGACAAUGGCAACAGCCUGCUGCAUCUGCAGAUGAAUUCCCUGAAAGCUGAGGACACAGCCAUGUAUUACUGUGCAAGACACACAGUGAGAGAGAGGAAGAGAGGCAAGUGGUAUUGGUGUAGUAUCAUGAGUCUUUCCUCUUUAUCUAUUUCAUCACAUAAAGAUUUCAGGCUUGAACCCAGCACAAAACCUGUGUCUGCUGAUCUGGGAGAGGAGCUUCUUCUCAUGUGGUCUUUCCCUCCUAAGGACUGA